GUGCCAGCAGCCGCGGUACUACCGGCAGCCCGAGUGAUGGCCGAUCUUAUUGGGCCUAAAGCGUCCGUAGCUGGCUGCGCAAGUCCGUCGGGAAAUCCACUCGCCCAACGAGUGGGCGUCCGACGGAAACUGCACAGCUUGGGGCCGGAGGACCCGAGGGGUACGUCCGGGGUAGGAGUGAAAUCCCAUAAUCCCGCACGGACCACCGAUGGCGAAAGCACUUCGAGAAAACGGAUCCGACAGUGAGGGACGAAAGCCAGGGUCUCCAACCGGAUUAGAUACCCUAGUAGUCC
rnacentral:rRNA from 1 species